UCCACUAACCAAUCAAAACCCUUAUCCAGUAUUGAAUGAUUCCAUAACCAUAUGGAAAACCGUAUGCUAGAACUAGUAAUAAGAAGAAGACCUUCUCCAAAAUACAAGUGUGAGCCGAAAUGAACAACUCAUCGGCACUUAACGUAAAUGAACCCAAAGUAGUAACAAAACAAGAAAAUUCUACUACACAAUACGUCAAUCUUACACUAGAGUAUUACUGGAAAGAUUAAAAGAAAGGGAAGGAACUCGGCAAAUCAUCAACCCCGCCUGUUUACCAAAAACAUCGCCUCUUGACAAAAUAUAAGAGGUCCAGCCUGCCCAGUGACAAAGUUAAACGGCCGCGGUACCCUAACCGUGCGAAGGUAGCGCAAUCACUUGUUCUUUAAAUGAGGACUAGUAUGAAUGGCAUCACGAGGGUUGCACUGUCUCCCCUUUUUAAUCAAUGAAACUGACCCCCCCGUGAAGAGGCGGGGAUAUAACUAUAAGACGAGAAGACCCCAUGGAGCUUUAAACUCAGUAUCAACCGCCUAACAACACAUCAUUACAAUUUGGCAGAUCUGAUUACUAGUUUUCGGUUGGGGUGACCGCGGAGUAAAACAAAACCUCCACGAUGAAAGGACCUAUACUCCUAAUCAUAGAGCCACAGCUCAAAGAAUCAAAAAACUGACAUAAAUUGAUCCAAUUAAUUUGAUCAACGAACCAAGUUACCCUGGGGAUAACAGCGCAAUCCACUUCAAGAGCCCCUAUCGACAAGUGGGUUUACGACCUCGAUGUUGGAUCAGGGUAUCCCAGUGGUGCAGCCGCUACUAAAGGUUC
rnacentral:rRNA from 1 species